rnacentral:misc_RNA from 1 species
GAUGAAGAACGCAGUGAAAUGCGAUAAGUAAUGUGAAUUGCAGAAUUCAGUGAAUCAUCGAAUCUUUGAACGCAUCUUGCGCUCCUUGGUAUUCUGAGGAGCAUGCCUGUUUGAGUGUCAUUAAAUUCUCAACUACACUGACUUUGAAUUGGUGUGGCUUGGAUUUGGGGGGAAAAUUGUUGUGGGCUUUUUGUAUAGUCUGCUCCCCUGAAAUUGAUUAGCGGUGCCUUUGUGGAACUGUCUACAGGUGUGAUAAUUAUCUACAUCUUAGACAUCUGCUGGAAUGCUGCUUUCUAAACCUUACUUGUAUUGACAAUCUUGACCUCAAAUCAGGUAGGACUACCCGCUGAACUUAAGCAUAUCAAUAAGCGGAGGA